CGUAGGUUCUCGAAAUGAACUCAGAUGUCCCGAGUGCAGGACUCUCGUUGGCUCGGGUGUCGAGGAGCUUCCCAGUAACAUCUUGCUGGUCAGACUUCUGGAUGGCAUCAAACAGAGGCCUUGGAAACCUGGUCCUGGUGGGGGAAGUGGGACCAACUGCACAAAUGCAUUAAGGUCUCAGAGCAGCACUGUGGCUAAUUGUAGCUCAAAAGAUCUGCAGAGCUCCCAGGGUGGACAGCAGCCUCGGGUGCAAGCCUGGAGCCCCCCAGUGAGGGGUAUACCUCAGUUACCAUGUGCCAAAGCAUUAUACAACUACGAAGGAAAAGAGCCUGGAGACCUUAAAUUCAGCAAAGGUGACAUCAUCAUUUUGCGAAGACAAGUGGAUGAAAAUUGGUACCAUGGGGAAGUCAAUGGAAUCCAUGGCUUUUUCCCCACCAACUUUGUGCAGAUUAUUAAACCGUUACCUCAGCCCCCACCUCAGUGCAAAGCACUUUAUGACUUUGAAGUGAAAGACAAGGAAGCAGACAAAGAUUGCCUUCCAUUUGCAAAGGAUGAUGUUCUGACUGUGAUCCGAAGAGUGGAUGAAAACUGGGCUGAAGGAAUGCUGGCAGACAAAAUAGGAAUAUUUCCAAUUUCAUAUGUUGAGUUUAACUCGGCUGCUAAGCAGCUGAUAGAAUGGGAUAAGCCUCCUGUGCCAGGAGUUGAUGCUGGAGAAUGUUCCUCGGCAGCAGCCCAGAGCAGCACUGCCCCAAAGCACUCCGACACCAAGAAGAACACCAAAAAGCGGCACUCCUUCACUUCCCUCACUAUGGCCAACAAGUCCUCCCAGGCAUCCCAGAACCGCCAUUCCAUGGAGAUCAGCCCCCCUGUCCUCAUCAGCUCCAGCAACCCCACUGCUGCUGCACGGAUCAGCGAGCUGUCUGGGCUCUCCUGCAGUGCCCCUUCUCAGGUUCAUAUAAGUACCACCGGGUUAAUUGUGACCCCACCCCCAAGCAGCCCAGUGACAACUGGCCCCUCGUUUACUUUCCCAUCAGAUGUUCCCUACCAAGCUACCCUUGGAACUUUGAAUCCUCCUCUUCCGCCACCCCCUCUCCUGGCUGCCACUGUCCUUGCCUCCACACCACCAGGCGCCGCUGCUGCUGCUGCUGCUGCUGGAAUGGGACCGAGGCCCAUGGCAGGAUCCACUGACCAGAUUGCACAUUUACGGCCUCAGACUCGCCCCAGUGUGUAUGUUGCUAUAUAUCCAUACACUCCUCGGAAAGAGGAUGAGCUAGAGCUGAGAAAAGGGGAGAUGUUUUUAGUGUUUGAGCGCUGCCAGGAUGGCUGGUUCAAAGGGACAUCCAUGCAUACCAGCAAGAUAGGGGUUUUCCCUGGCAAUUAUGUGGCACCAGUCACAAGGGCGGUGACAAAUGCUUCCCAAGCUAAAGUCCCUAUGUCUACGGCUGGCCAGACAAGUCGGGGGGUGACCAUGGUCAGUCCUUCCACGGCAGGAGGGCCUGCCCAGAAGCUCCAGGGAAAUGGUGUGGCUGGGAGUCCCAGUGUUGUCCCCACGGCUGUGGUAUCAGCAGCUCACAUCCAGACAAGUCCUCAGGCCAAGGUCUUGUUGCACAUGACGGGGCAAAUGACAGUCAACCAGGCCCGCAAUGCUGUGAGGACAGUUGCAGCGCACAACCAGGAACGCCCCACGGCAGCAGUGACACCCAUCCAGGUACAGAAUGCCGCCGGCCUCAGCCCUGCAUCUGUGGGCCUGCCCCAUCACUCGCUGGCCUCCCCACAACCUGCGCCUCUGAUGCCAGGCUCAGCCACGCACACUGCUGCCAUCAGUAUCAGUCGAGCCAGUGCCCCUCUGGCCUGUGCAGCAGCUGCUCCACUGACCUCCCCAAGCAUCACCAGUGCUUCUCUGGAGGCUGAGCCCAGUGGCCGGAUAGUGACCGUUCUCCCUGGACUCCCCACAUCUCCUGACAGUGCUUCAUUAGCUUGUGGGAACAGUUCAGCAACCAAACCAGACAAGGAUAGCAAA
rnacentral:sRNA from 1 species